rnacentral:rRNA from 1 species
UAGAGUUUGAUCCUGGCUCAGAACGAACGCUGGCGGCGUGCUUAACACAUGCAAGUCGAACGGGAUUCAGAGCUUGCUCUGAUGAGAGUGGCGCACGGGUGAGUAACGCGUGGAUAACCUGCCCUGGUAUCUGGAAUAACAUCUCGAAAGGGGUGCUAAUACCGGAUAAGCCUACGGAGCCCUCGGUCUCUGCAGGAAAAGGUGGCCUCUAUUUAUAAGCUACCGUAUCAGGAUGGGUCCGCGUACCAUCAGCUAGUUGGUGGGGUAAUGGCCUACCAAGGCGACGAUGGUUAGCUGGUCUGAGAGGAUGAUCAGCCACACUGGAACUGAGACACGGUCCAGACUCCUACGGGAGGCAGCAGUGGGGAAUUUUGCGCAAUGGGGGAAACCCUGACGCAGCAACGCCGCGUGAGUGAUGAAGGCUUUCGGGUCGUAAAGCUCUGUCAGUAGGGAAGAAAUGAACCUGGUUAAUACCCGGGUUUCUUGACGGUACCUACAAAGGAAGCACCGGCUAACUCCGUGCCAGCAGCCGCGGUAAUA